rnacentral:misc_RNA from 1 species
GUUUCCUCAAGAUCAGCAAGAUUUCCUCGGCUUAUCUUAUGUAUAUGGGUGUGGCCGUCGAGUGGAUCAAAAAGCAUAUAUUCAUGAUCAACGCUGAGGUAAGCUAAUAGCAACUGCACUGAUCUGCCAUCAGUAACAUCAUCCUCUGACUUAGGACUUCCGCGAAUGAAAGCAAGUGAAGCACCUUUUGCCUUUCUUACAAACCAGAUCCCUACGGGAACAUGAUCUGUGGCCCUGAAUAACAAGAUCACUCCAUCGCCAUCCAGAGUUGUGGCUUCAUUAGACAUCACAGGUCCAACUGGCUUUGGGAGAAGGGCCAGGACGGCAAACAAGGAAUCAUCCAUCGCACAAGUUACAGCUUCUAUCUUAAGUUUGUAAGACCAUGAUACAGACAGCUUUGACAUGCUCCACACUGAUACUUGAGCCUUAGAACCUUGCGAUGUGGUUACCACAUACUCUGACUUCCCAAUAAAUGCUAAGGAAGAGAUUGGCUCAAGACUCUCCCCAACUGUAGCUACAAGAAUAUUCCUCUCCGGAUCCCACAAUGUAAUAACUUUUUCUGCAGCUACAGCCAGAACAGAACCAUCUCCAGAAAAGGCAGCAGCUGUCAUUGGCUUUUUCUUAUAGGAACCAACAGAAUGGCAUGUCCAUCCAGCGUUCUGCAUCUGAUCUUUUUGUUGCAUCUCCUGACUGCCGAUCCAAACCUUGAAAUCAGCACCCUGUGAGGUGGUAACAGCCAUGUGACGCAAAGGAUGGAAAGCAAUGGAC